UGUGAAUUGCAGAAUUCAGUGAAUCAUCGAAUCUUUGAACGCACAUUGCGCCCUUUGGUAUUCCUUAGGGCAUGCCUGUUCGAGCGUCACUAAAAACCCUCUCACAGAUAAUGUGGUAUUGGUAGAAGUGGAUAGUACUAACACUACCCCAUCUUACUCUACUGAAAUGAAUAGGCCAGAGAAGUGGACUAUGGUAAUAGACUCCAGAAGUGUUUUAAAAUGCUAAUCUAGUCUUACCCAAGUCAUGUUCUGAGCUACUGGACCCCCAUUUAGUCCAAACCAAAGAGGUUGACCUCGGAUCAGGUAGGGAUACCCGCUGAACUUAAGCAUAUCAAUAAGCGGAG
rnacentral:sRNA from 1 species